rnacentral:miRNA from 1 species
GAUGAUGACGAUGAUGAUGAUGAUAAUAGGGACGUGCUGAAACCAUUAUGAAUCUAUCAGUUACGUUCUGCAACGACAAAGUUUUAUUGUGUAUCAUCAUCAUCAUCAUCAUCAUC